rnacentral:rRNA from 1 species
AUCCCCAUGCAGUGGGCUAAGAGCUAUUCAAAGGGGGUACAGCCCCUUUAAAAAGGAUACAACCUCCAUCAGCGGAUAACCUCACCCCACCUCAACCCCCGUGGGCCUUAAAGCAGCCACCCCUAAAGAACGCGUCAAAGCUCCACAAACUGAAAAAAUCUAAAAACAAUGCAAAUCCCUAAACCCAUAACAGGCCAACCUACAACAGUAGAUGAAUCAAUGCUAAAACGAGUAACCAGGAUACCAAAUCCCCUAAAGCGCCAACUUAAGCACCAUUAACAGCACAGCUACAAUAUCAAACCCCCGACCAAACAUUGAACACGCCCUGUUAGACCAACCCUGGAGCGCGCACUAGGAUGAUUAAAAUCUACAGAAGGAACUCGGCAAACCCAAGACCCGACUGUUUACCAAAAACAUAGCCUUCAGCCAAACAAGUAUUGAAGGUGAUGCCUGCCCAGUGACACCACGUUUAACGGCCGCGGUAUCCUAACCGUGCAAAGGUAGCGCAAUCAAUUGUCCCAUAAAUCGAGACCUGUAUGAACGGCUAAACGAGGUCUUAACUGUCUCCUGCAGAUAAUCAGUGAAACUGAUCCCUCUGUGCAAAAGCAGAGAUGGACACAUAAGACGAGAAGACCCUGUGGAACUUCAAAAUCAAUAGCCACCACAUCCAACUUACAAACCCACCGGGCUCACCGCCCACAAACACUGGCUAAUAUUUUUAGGUUGGGGCGACCUUGGAGAAAAACAAACCCUCCAAAAAUAAGGCCAAACCCCUAACUAAGAGCAACCCCUCAACGUGCCAACAGCACCCAGACCCAGUAAAACUGACCAAUGAACCAAGCUACCCCAGGGAUAACAGCGCAAUCUCCCCCAAGAGCCCCUAUCGACGGGGAGGUUUACGACCUCGAUGUUGGAUCA